rnacentral:sRNA from 1 species
UUCAGUGGUAUUGCCAUCGGAUGGAAUGCAGUAGAACUGUCCGAGAAACAUGAAUUAUUAUUAGUUCUCGAAAUUGUGGCAUGGGUAAUCACAAUCGCAGGCGCUCUUUUCCUUCACGUUGGUGUCAUUAAGGAAACCAAGAUUCCAAUUAUAAUAUGGAUCGUAGUUGCUUUCAUAUGCGGAAU